rnacentral:rRNA from 1 species
UACGGGGGGGGCGAGCGUUGUUCGGAAUUACUGGGCGUAAAGGGCUCGUAGGUGGCCAACUAAGUCAGACGUGAAAUCCCUCAGCUUAACUGGGGAACUGCGUCUGAUACUGGAUGGCUUGAGUUUGGGAGAGGGAUGCGGAAUUCCAGGUGUAGCGGUGAAAUGCGUAGAUAUCUGGAGGAACACCGGUGGCGAAGGCGGCAUCCUGGACCAACACUGACACUGAGGAGCGAAAGCCAGGGGAGCAAACGGG